rnacentral:rRNA from 1 species
GUGUCAGCAGCCGCGGUAAGACAGAGGAUGCAAGCGUUAUCCGGAAUGAUUGGGCGUAAAGCGUCUGUAGGUGGCUUUUUAAGUUCGCCGUCAAAUCCCAGGGCUCAGCCCUGGACAGGCGGGGGAAACUACCAAGCUGGAGUACGGUAGGGCCAGAGGGAAUUUCUGGUGGAGCGGUGAAAUGCGUAGAGAUCGGAAAGAACACCAACGGCGAAAGCACUCUGGGCCGACAUUGACACUGAGAGACGAAAGCUAGGGGAGCGAAUGGGAUUAGAUACCCCAGUAGUCC